rnacentral:rRNA from 1 species
UACGUAGGGUGCGAGCGUUAAUCGGAAUUACUGGGCGUAAAGCGUGCGCAGGCGGUUUUGUAAGCCCGAUGUGAAAUCCCCGGGCUUAACCUGGGAAUGGCAUUUGGGACUGCAAGGCUUGAGUGCGGCAGAGGAGACUGGAAUUCCUGGUGUAGCAGUGAAAUGCGUAGAUAUCAGGAGGAACACCGGUGGCGAAGGCGGGUCUCUGGGCCGUUACUGACGCUGAGGAGCGAAAGCGUGGGGAGCGAACAGG